rnacentral:rRNA from 1 species
UACGAAGGGUGCUAGCGUUGUUCGGAAUCACUGGGCGUAAAGCGCGCGUAGGCGGCGAUUCAAGUCAGGGGUGACCUCCCAGAGCUUAACUCUGGAACUGCCUUUGACACUGAGUCGCUGGAGUGUCGGAGGGGAUGGCGGAAUUGCUAAUGUAGAGGUGAAAUUCGUAGAUAUUAGCAGGAACACCGGUGGCGAAGGCGGCCAUCUGGACGACAACUGACGCUGUGGCGCGAAAGCGUGGGGAUCAAACAGG